UACAGAGGUCCCAAGCGUUGUUCGGAUUCACUGGGCGUAAAGGGUGCGUAGGCGGUCGGGUAAGUCUGACGUGAAAUCUUCAAGCUCAACUUGGAAACUGCGUCCGAUACUAUUCGGCUAGAGGAAUGGAGGGGAGACUGGAAUACUUGGUGUAGCAGUGAAAUGCGUAGAUAUCAAGUGGAACACCAGUGGCGAAGGCGGGUUGCUGGGCUGACACUGACGCUGGAGGCGCGAAAGCCAGGGGAGCGAACGGG
rnacentral:rRNA from 1 species